rnacentral:rRNA from 1 species
UACGUAGGUGGCAAGCGUUGUCCGGAUUUACUGGGCGUAAAGAGCGCGCAGGCGGUCGAUCAAGUCGCGUGUGAAAGCCCCCGGCUCAACUGGGGAGGGUCACGCGAUACUGAUCGACUCGAAGGCAGGAGAGGGUAGUGGAAUUCCCGGUGUAGUGGUGAAAUGCGUAGAUAUCGGGGGGAAUACCAGUGGCGAAAGCGGCACCCUAGCGUUAGCCUGACGCUCAUGUGCGAAAGCGUGGGGAGCGAACGGG